rnacentral:rRNA from 1 species
GACGGGGGAUGCAAGCGUUAUCCGGAAUCACUGGGCGUAAAGCGUCUGUAGGUGGUGAUGCAAGUCACUGGUGCAAAACUCUGGCUCAACCGGAGGAAAGCCAGUGAAACUGCAUGACUAGAGUGUGGGAGAGGUAGAAGGAAUUCCCUGAGUAGCGGUGAAAUGCGUAGAUACAGGGAAGAACACCGGAGGCGAAAGCGUUCUACUGGAACACAACUGACACUGAGAGACCAAAGCUACGGGAGCUAAUGGG